rnacentral:rRNA from 1 species
UACGUAGGGCGCAAGCGUUUGUCCGGAAUUAUUGGGCGUAAAGAGCUCGUAGGCGGCUUGUCGCGUCUGUUGUGAAAGCCCGGGGCUUAACCCCGGGUCUGCAGUGGAUACGGGCAGGCUAGAGGCAGGUAGGGGAGAACGGAAUUCCCGGUGUAGCGGUGAAAUGCGCAGAUAUCGGGAGGAACACCGGUGGCGAAGGCGGUUCUCUGGGCCUGUACUGACGCUGAGGAGCGAAAGCGUGGGGAGCGAACAGG